rnacentral:sRNA from 1 species
UUAAACCCGUCUGGGUCUUGGGGGCCUUUGUGCAGCUCCUGACUUGGCCCAUUACUUAGAGUAGUUCGUAACACAGGUGAAGUGUUGUUAGUUACCAGGCACUGUUAAAGGUGCUUUACAUGUAGUGACCUGUGUAAUUUCUCACAUUAAUCCUUAAUGAGAUGGACGGGGGAAGUGGAGGACAGGGGGCUUAAAUAACACGCCCGGGUUCACGUAGCCUUUAUGUGAAGCAGGACUCAGAGCCAGACCGCCUGGCUCCAGAGCCGGCACUGCUCUGUUGUAACCCAGCUGAAGGAGUAUUUUACCUUGUGACUGUAGACACAGCCAUCCAUAGAUCACACACGUCUGUGUGUAACAGACAAAAUGGUGAAAAUGGCUGAUUUGAUUUCUGAUUCCUGCGCAGUUUUCUGUCAUGCUUCACUAAAUGAUUUACUGGUGGGUUAUGUCCCACAGUUAAAAACAUGGCCCAGGCUCUGCUUCUCACUAUGGGUUGAGCACUUGGUGUGGGCCAGGCAUGUUUUUCUAGUGGUCCCGAUUCACUGUGAGGACAUGGGAGGCCAGAGCAGGGGUUAUUAUCACUAACUUGGGAGGGGCAGGAGAGGGGACCCUGGCAGCUGGACAGAGGUGCUGACUGCAGCUACUCUCCCCAAGGUGAAAUUCAUGAAAAGCAAGCCGGGGGCCGCCAUGGUGGAGAUGGCUGAUGGCUACGCUGUAGACCGGGCCAUUACCCACCUCAACAACAACUUCAUGUUUGGGCAGAAGCUGAAUGUCUGUGUCUCCAAGCAGCCAGCCAUCAUGCCCGGUCAGUCAUACGGGUUGGAAGACGGGUCUUGCAGUUACAAAGACUUCAGUGAAUCCCGGAACAAUCGGUUCUCCACCCCAGAGCAGGCAGCCAAGAACCGCAUCCAGCACCCCAGCAAUGUGCUGCACUUCUUCAACGCCCCGCUGGAGGUGACCGAGGAGAACUUCUUUGAGAUCUGCGAUGAGCUGGGAGUGAAGCGGCCAUCUUCUGUGAAAGUAUUCUCAGGCAAAAGUGAGCGCAGCUCCUCUGGACUGCUGGAGUGGGAAUCCAAGAGCGAUGCCCUGGAGACUCUGGGCUUCCUGAACCAUUACCAGAUGAAAAACCCAAGUGAGUAUCUGUGUGUCCUGCAGGCAUCAACCUGGUGACCUAAUGGGUUGGCUGGCUUCAGGCCAGGGAUGUCCUUCCUGCCCUUGAGAUAGGACCCCGGAAUCUUCGCACUGUUGGUGACACAGGCAGGUGGGACCUGCUCAUCAGGAGAGCAGCCUGUGCUCCUCAUGGGAGAGCCAGCCUGACUGCCUGCUGCCACUCACUCUGCCAGCUUGGGAGUUGCUCAGGCUUGUCCUCCAGGGAGGUGGCAUUCUCUUCUUUGCAUCAGAGACUGGCUUAGGUAGGAAAGCCACUCUGUUACUAGGAAAGAGGCAACACUAUCCAGCAGGUAAAACUUGCCCACCCAGUUGCUGGGAAAGGCCCAUUGCCUUGGGCUGGCGAAGGAGAUAGGAAUGGGAUUCUCUAUGGGAAUGAAGGAAGAGAAGGAGAAACGCCGUGCAUAAUUGGUAAUUGGCUCAUCUUGAAGCCUCACGUUGGGCAGUCACUCCUUAGACCCCUGCCGUUGACCUGCAGAAAAUGGGAGAUGGGUACAAACUUGAGGGGACCUGGGUUUGGGGAGCCUCCAAAGACAGGAACCAACCAAACUUGUCUCUCCUUUGCAGAUGGUCCAUACCCUUACACUCUGAAGUUGUGUUUCUCCACUGCUCAGCACGCCUCCUAAUUAGGUGCCUAGGAAGAGUCCCAUCUGAGCAGGAAGACAUUUCUCUUUCCUUUAUGCCAUUUUUUGUUUUUGUUAUUUGCAAAAGAUCUUGUAUUCCUUUUUUUUUUUUUUUUUUUUAAAUGCUAGGUUUGUAGAGGCUUAACCUUAAUGGAAACGCUGGAAGUCUGCAGGGGGAGGGAGAGGGGAACUGGUAUCUCCCAAGAUUAACCUUCACUUUUAAAAAAUUAUUGUACAUGUGAUUUUUUUUUUCCUGUUCAUACAUUUGUGCUGCCCAUGUACUCUUGGCACAUUUCAAUAAAAUUGUUUGGAAAAUAAACACAGC